AUGGAAAGUACUCAAGUGGAGAAAUUGAGGAGAGAAAAGAUAACAAUGGGAGAUGAUGCGAGUACUUGGAGCGAGGAGAAGGGUGAGAAUGCUAAGAGUGCUCAUGCAUGCAAUAUUUUUGUUCUUGGAACAAAACCUCUUGACAGAAGUUUAGCGCUUGAGGAUAAUAUUUAUGGAUAUGGUAUAACAAACAAGGUGGUUAAUCUUACUGGUUGUGACAGUACUACAUCAUAG